UACCCCUGAAGCCAGCUUGGUGCUA
rnacentral:piRNA from 1 species